UCGCUGGUGGUCCAUUUGUUAGGACUCCGUGCUUUCACUGCCAAGGGCCCAGGUUCAAUCCCUGGUUGGGGAA
rfam:TPA: Bos taurus chromosome 18, whole genome shotgun sequence.